GUGAUUUUAAUCUUGUGCUUAAUCCUGAAAUAGAUUAUUACAAUUACUUACAUGUAAACAAUCCAAAAGCCAGGUUAAAAUUAUUGGAAAUUAUAGAUAAUCAAAGUAUGGUUGACCCAUACAGAGAACUAUAUCCAGAUAAAAGACGUUAUACUUGGAGAAAAAAGUCACCACUGAAACAGUCAAGGCUGGACUUCUUUCUCAUAUCUGAUGUGUUAUUACCUUCUUUAAAAGAUUCAUAUAUAGAAUCAAGCUAUCGAUCAGAUCACUCCAUCAUAGUUUUGCAUUUAGUAUUUAAUGAUUUCAAAAGGGGAAAAGGACUCUGGAAGUUUAAUAAUUCAUUGCUAUCUGACCAAGAAUAUUUAGACACAAUAAAUGUAAAAAUUGAAGAUAUAAAAAAUCAGUAUUCUGCAAUACCACUUUCAGAAAAGCAGAACAUUAUGAAUUCAGAUUUUUUGUUAAGUAUCGAUGAUCAAUUAUUUUGGAAACCUUGUUAAUGGAAAAAUAAGAGGUAAAACUAUAGCAUUUAGUAGCUACAAGAAAAGAAAAGAGAGGGACAAAGUAGAAAAUCUUACAAAAGAGAUUCAAAGGGCAGAA
rnacentral:lncRNA from 1 species